CGCGGUAAUUCCAGCUCCAAUAGCGUAUAUUAAAGUUGUUGCAGUUAAAAAGCUCGUAGUUGGAUUUCGGAAGGUCCUUAGCAAUCCGCCCCUUCGGGGAGCGGGUUGCUGGCCUCCUAUGUUCCUAACGGUCCUCAUCCGCGAGGGUGGGGAAUCAACCGCUAGGAUCGUUUACUUUGAGGAAAUUAGAGUGUUCAAAGCAGGCGUAACUCGCCUCCGAAUACGUUAGCAUGGGAUAAUGGAAUACGACUUCGGUCUUGUUUCGUUGGUUUCGCUUGGCUGAAGUAAUGAUUGAUAGGGACAGUUGGGGGCAUUAGUAUUUAGUUGUCAGAGGUGAAAUUCUAGGAUUUACUAAAGACUGACCAAUGCGAAAGCAUUUGCCAAGGAUGUUUUCAUUAAUCAAGAACGAAAGUAGGGGGAUCGAAGACGAUCAGAUACCGUCGUAGUCUCUACCGUAAACUAUGCCGACCAGGGAUCCGGAGAGUUUGCAUGGAUGACUCCCCGGGCACCUUGUGAGAAAUCAUAAGUGUUUGGGUUUUGGGGGGAGUAUGGUCGCAAGGCUGAAACUUAAAGGAAUUGACGGAAGGGCACCACCAGGAGUGGAACCUGCGGCUUAAUUUGACUCAACACGGGGAAACUUACGAGGUCAGGACACUGUGAGGAUUGACA
rnacentral:rRNA from 1 species